UAGGGAAUCUUCGGCAAUGGGGGGAACCCUGACCGAGCAACGCCGCGUGAGUGAAGAAGGUUUUCGGAUCGUAAAGCUCUGUUGUUAAGGAAGAACGAGUGUGAGAAUGGAAAGUUCAUACUGUGACGGUACUUAACCAGAAAGGGACGGCUAACUACGUGCCAGCAGCCGCGGUAAUACGUAGGUCCCGAGCGUUGUCCGGAUUUAUUGGGCGUAAAGCGAGCGCAGGCGGUUAGAUAAGUCUGAAGUUAAAGGCAGUGGCUCAACCAUUGUAGGCUUUGGAAACUGUUUAACUUGAGUGCAGAAGGGGAGAGUGGAAUUCCAUGUGUAGCGGUGAAAUGCGUAGAUAUCUGGAGGAACACCGGUGGCGAAAGCGGCUCUCUGGUCUGUAACUGACGCUGAGGCUCGAAAGCGUGGGGAGCGAACAGG
rnacentral:rRNA from 1 species